AAAAAUUGUGACACAAUAGCUUUAAAUCAACCACAACAGAUCAAUGAUGCAACUGUUCUUACUUUUCCAAAUGUAAAGAAAUAAUGUUAGGUCUUUUGAUUUUAAGAAAAGGAAAACCCAUGAGUGAAGAUAAAGUCUCAGGCAGAGGGUGGAGCGUAUUCACAAAGGUGAAUGUUUGAAAGACUGAUUCAUUUAGUCAUCGCUUUACAAUCACUCUUCAUCAGAAACCAUCAUGUUUCUGUUUUGUUGGAUACUGCUGUCUUUAUUCACAGGAUACUCUUUUGCUGACACAAUACAGCCAUUGUCUUCUGAAAAACAUAUAUUCAGAGGUGACAACGUGACUCUGUCCUGUAACUACAGUGGUCUUGUAUAUGACCUGCAAUGGUAUCGAAAUUCUGGGGGAUCUAGACCAGAGUUCCUGAUACGUGUUAAUGAAAAUUCAAAGGAAUCUGUGCCUUCUCUUCGUCUGUCAGCAAAAGACUCAAAGAAACAAGUGAAUCUUACAAUCUCUUCUGCUGAAGUGUCAGACUCUGCUGUAUAUUACUGCGCUCUGAGGCCCACAGUGACAGGAAACACAAGAACACUGAACAAAAACCCUGAUUUCAGUCAGAUGAUUGUGUACUUCACUGUAAAAACAUUUAAGAGGGCGUUCAUCUCUUUUCUGUAUCCCUCAUAA